CCUACGGGUGGCAGCAGUGAGGAAUAUUGGUCAAUGGUCGAGAGUCUGAACCAGCCAAGUCGCGUGAAGGAUGACUGUACUAUGUGUUGUAAACCUCUUUUAUCUGGGAACAAAACCGGGUAUGCAUACCCUCUUGUAUGUACCUUAUGAAUAAGCAUCGGCUAACUCCGUGCCAGCAGCCGCGGUAAUACGGAGGAUCCGAGCGUGAUCCGGAUUUAUUGGGGUUAAAGGGUGCGUAGGUGGAUUGUUAAGGCAGUUGUGAAAGGUGGCGGGUCAACCGUAAAAUUGCAGUUGAAACUGGCAGUCUGGAGUACAGUAGAGGUGUGCGGAAUUCGUGGUGUAGCGGUGAAAUGCUUAGAUAUCACGAAGAACUGCGAUUGCGAAGGCAGCUCACUGGACUGCAACUGACACUGAUGCUCGAAAGUGUGGGUAUCAAACAGGAUUAGAUACCCCGGUAGUC
rnacentral:rRNA from 1 species